CUGGAUGGUGCCAGCGGACCAGCAUCUCCGAAGCGAUGCAUGAGCGGUAAGGCUGGCGUCGGCCCGCGGAAGCUACAGGACCAUCUCUAGGUGCUGCCGCCACCGGGACGCCCGGCUGCAGGAUGAGUAAGAGAUACUUACAGAAGGCAACAAAAGGAAAGCUGCUGAUAAUAAUUUUUGUAGUGACCUUGUGGGGGAAAGCUGUUUCCAGUGCAAACCAUCACAAAGCUCACCAUGUUAAAACGGGAACUUGUGAGGUGGUGGCCCUACACAGAUGCUGUAAUAAGAACAAGAUAGAAGAACGGUCCCAAACGGUCAAGUGCUCCUGCUUCCCUGGGCAGGUGGCAGGCACCACGAGAGCUGCUCCAUCUUGUGUGGAUGCAUCCAUAGUGGAACAAAAAUGGUGGUGUCACAUGCAGCCAUGUCUGGAGGGAGAGGAAUGUAAGGUCCUUCCAGAUCGGAAAGGAUGGAGCUGCUCCUCUGGAAAUAAAGUGAAAACAACUCGGGCAAACGUGUAAAAGUCUUCAAGUUGGAAUGGAGAAGUAGGAAGAGAAGGUGUGCUGUGCCUCAUGACAAUGUUUGAUUUCCCACAUUCAAAAUUAUUCUGGCUCCUCGCUGGAGCAGUAGUUAUGGCGAAUUCUAGUGUUGAUCGGAUUCUGAGGAAGGGGCAGAAGUUCCCUUGAGAAGUAAAGACCCAAAACAACUCCAGAAAUGAACGCCUGUCUCCGUUCAUUUCUCACAGAGCAGCAGGUAACCCAUUAACCACACAUAAAUCAAGUAAUCCUCAAGACUGGGUUCAUGGAGACACACAUAGAAACUUGACCCCUGUGGUGAUCUUGAAGAUUUUUAUACCUCUUAGAAGUGGGGCUCUUAAGUCUAUUUACAAGGGAUUCCAUGACUUGCUAUCAGCUUCUUCUUGAAACAAAGACUUACAGUUUGUCAUGAACUUCAUGUCCUGAAGAUGUCAUCAGCUGUGAACUGCACUUGGGCUCAUUACACUUCUGAAGGAAGCAGACAAAGCAGAGCUGGGGUCCUAGGGGUGACACCAGACUGCCACCUGUAGGGGUCCUGACUUCAGCUGUGACUAUUCCUGUUUCUGAAGCUGUCUCCCAAGCACACUGUCCUGUCAUGGAUAUGUUCCUGGGUCCUCUGUUCAUUGUCUAUAGGACUGUGCACAGCUUUUAUGACGUUUCCUUUGUGAACUUCUCUGGCAUGGUGUAGCGGAGACAUUUCUAUUGGUAUUCUAAUGUUGAAUCUCUGAAAGCCUACAUGUUUUAACAUCUUAUACUUGCCUCUAUGAAAGGAAUGGAAGUAUUUCUCCAUUGAUAACGUUAAUCAUUGGCAAGUCACCAUAAUCUGAAUCCAUCAAUCAUAUAAGAAUGUAUAGACAUGCUGACAUGUUUCCCCAAGGCUAACACAUGACUGCCAUUCUGUCAGUUAAGCAGAUAGCAGUUAGGAUUGGAUCCCCAUUACCGUUGCACAGUACUCUGUACCUCUAGCACACCUUUGCUUCCAGUUUUAUUAAGUGUAUUUUCCUAUUUAUGUUUCCCUUUUCUUUUCUUCACAGAAAUCGUCAGUGUGUAGUCAAGUUAGUAGGUAUCCUUCCAUUAAAAAAAUACCAGGGAUGCAUGUACUUUUCUAAUUACUCAUCGCUUAUUUUUAUUCUAGUAUUUUCUUAAACUAUCCUUCCUGUAUCAUUUUGAGAUUGUCUCUUGCUCGACUCCAAUGACUGCUUGAAUGCUUAUAUAUUUGUUCAGUCUGUGGAUAGAAAAAAUUGUUCAUUUUCCUUGACCUCAAAGGUCUAAUAAAUACUUGCUUAUCAUUGUUCCAAUCAAAUGAUUUCUUAGGCCAGUAUUUUGUCCAUAUUUUCUUAGCCAUCUUAUGACUUGUAAGUUUUAGUUCUUCAGGAACAUCUUACAAAUAUUUAAAGGCCUUAAACAUUGAUUUACUUUUUUUCUAAGUUAUUACAGAAUGUAUAAAUUUAUACUACAUUUAUUUUGUUUCACUUGUGAUGUGGAGGGAGAGAAUACUGGGUACUGAGUUACCACUGUGUAAUAAUUCCAUGGAAAUCUAUAGUUUGAAGGAAAGUAAGGCAAAGAUUUUCCAUGUCUCAAUUAUUUCAGCAUGAGCAAAAGAGGCUUCACAGAUCAUCUUAUUAGGUAGUCCAUCUUUUUGGUAGAAGAGUGAAAGUAUUGUGGACUUCUUGUACUUCUUAAACUCACUGACAAGGCCAGAUAAACUUAAGUUGGAUUCUGUGAUGGAGGCUCAUAUGUUCUACAGAAUUUCUAUGUUAGUCUGUAACGAUAUUAAAAGAUUCAUAUAUCUAACAGAUCCUUUACUGGGAAGAAAAACUAAAAGUAUAAAAUCUGUUAAAAAUUAAAUUUGAAAACUUUUUUAUAUUGAGCUAAAGUCAACCGCCUCAUGGAUACAUGGAAUGAAGUGAUUCCUGCUUCCCUUUAAUUGUGCAUGAACCAGUUGGGUGGUUCCUAGUGGGUUUUUCAAUGGGUCAAGACUACGUAGAGUGAAAAUCAAAGGAAUAACAGUUGUCCUGGAUGUUUUAUGUCAAACAAAAUAUUAAUUUCUUUGAAACAAAAUGAAGAACUAGAUCAUUUUGAACAUUAUGAAUUUACCCUAGGUUUGUUUGAAAUUAUGGAUCAUGCUUCUAAUUUUGAAAAGUAUGUCGUUUAACACAGCGCUGGAAAUUCUGUAUUAUAUAAAAGUGCAAUACAUGCGUAUCAAUAGAAAAAAAUAAAUGGAAUUUCAAAUAUAUGAACUAGAUUAUCCCCAGUAGAUUAAUGUUGUGAAUAUUCAGAAGAAAGUGAAUAAAAUUGGAGUAUAAAAUUGACUCGCUUUCACAAGUAAAGUUUGGAGAAUCUGGUCUCUUGUAUUCUAUUUUAAAAAGUACCUUAAUUAGUAACCAAUACAAUUCAAAACUUAGAAAGAACCUGAUGAACUGUUCAAUCCUCUUUUAAUAAAGCUCCGUGCAAAAGCUUCA